UUCCUCCUCUUCUCUGUGAUUCGAAGAUUUGGUCUUCUAAUUUCUGUGAGGCCUCUAAGAACGGAAGCGGCGGAGAAGGCGAAACCAGGCGUUUGAGGGAUCGGGGAGAAUGGCGACGGAGGAUAACUCCCAGAGCAUGGUGACGACGUACGAGAGGCUGGAAGGGGUGGCGAACUGGGUGGGGGGGAGCGUGGUCUCCGCCUUCUUCGCCUCCCUGGAUCGCUGCUCCUGCAUCAAUGUCAGCACCGCCGAGGACGACGGCGACGAGCCCGAGGAGGCCAACGACCGCCCCCUCAUGCUCACCAAGCCCGUCCUCCACGACGAGGAGGACGCCAAGCCCUCCCCCCGUUGAUCAUCUUCCUCAUCAUCACUAUGGGUACCUUGAAUCCUUGAAACCGAUCGGUUCGUGACAUCGUCAAUCUUCGAUCUCCUCUCUUUCAUCCGAUCUUUGGAAGUGUUUUCGUGAAAGAUGCCGUAUUCAUUUCUCGUGAUAAAACGCCUCUAUGCUUUAUUUAUUGUUCAUGUUGCUACGAUCGGGCUUUGGUUUCCGCUGAUUCUUGUUGUUCUCGUUAGCAAGUAUGCAUGUAGAGGACGAUGAUCCCAAUGUAUUCAUUGGAUCAAAGAUUGAAGUGCGUGUUUUGGUGACGUUGUCAUGAAUUAGGUUCUUGUAAUCGUUGUUGGCC